UGCCAGCCGCCGCGGUAAUACGGAGGGUGCAAGCGUUAAUCGGAAUUACUGGGCGUAAAGCGCGCGUAGGCGGCCAAGUCAGUCAGAUGUGAAAGCCCCGGGCUCAACCUGGGAAUUGCACCUGAUACUGCUUGGCUAGAGUACAGAAGAGGGUGGUGGAAUUUCCUGUGUAGCGGUGAAAUGCGUAGAUAUAGGAAGGAACAUCAGUGGCGAAGGCGGCCACCUGGUCUGAUACUGACGCUGAGGUGCGAAAGCGUGGGGAGCAAACAGGAUUAGAUA
rnacentral:rRNA from 1 species